rnacentral:lncRNA from 1 species
AGUGCGCGCGCCGCGCGCGGAAGCGUCUCUCAACAACCGAAUGCUACGCCAGUGCUACCCUCGUACCUUGCCUGCUACCUUCGUUCAUUUCACGGCUGGAUCUUCUAGAAGAAGCAUUCGAGUUGUUGGAUGCAUCUCGUUUGUCCACGGAGAGUGUUGGAUUCGUAGAUCCACUCUCCACGUGUCUCCUAUUGAGAAGCAGCCGCUAAGUAGCUCACGCUUAUCAUCGCAAUCGUUUUAAAAAAGAUGGGAGAGUAGAUUGCAACCUGUUUCAAAUUUCUCUUCAAAUUAGGCGUUAACAAAUGCAUCAUCAUCUUACUGUUCAUGGUGCUUAUUAUCAGCAAUGGAUAACAUGGAGCCAUUGGAAUGUUUGUCAUAAUAUUUAAACCUCUGACACGGUUUCAUGUUAGAGUAUUUUUCUGCCUGUAUUCACAAAGCCUGUAUUUUUACGAUGGAAGAAGAUUCAAAUAUCGAAUGUUCAAAAGCAUUGUUACUUCCUGUGAAAAAAAACAAACCAGGCCAGCCAGUCCGCAGUAAUCAAAGGCUUGAAAUUAUCAAUUUGUUCUAUAAGAUGAAGGAAAUCAAUCCAAAUAUUUUCCAGAAAGAUGCUGCUGUAUUAUCAAAACAAACGGAAAGAGAUGGAAGAGCGAAUUACAAACGAAUCUACUACAAAUUCCUUCUUUAAAUUAGACAUUAGACGUUCACAUAGAGGUUUAUCUAUAGAAUGGAUGAAAGCAAAUCUUGACCAUAAAAUGAAGUAAAAUUAGAAUUAUAAAACAUGAGAAGCCUGCACAGAGAUGCGUUAUGCGUUAUAAGUGAAAUAUAGAUUCCUGAAAUGAGUUAUUAUUCCUCAUAGUUUCACCUAAUAUCCUUCAACUCUGUAAUAAAUUUCCUGUAAGACACAUCUACAAAGGAUCAAGAUUGAACUUUGAAUUCAUUCAUUACAGUUUUUUAUACCAAUCACUCAUCAUUUCUUAUACAUCAAGAAUGCAAUUGAAAGAUAUUAACAUUUAUUGCUGCUUGAUUGCAAUUAUAAACUGGACAUCAAGAUGGCAUCUUGCUAAAAAUAUUUAUUUGCAAUGCAGUAAUAAUGGGAUCAUGUGUGUGGUUUGUACAUUUGAUGGUAAAUGUUGAAAACCAAGUGGAUAAUAUUUCGAGUAUAAUAUAUAGAAAUAUGAUGUUGCAAAUGAUAUACGCUAUCCUGACUUUUCUAUGAUUGAUUGGUUCUUGCCUUUGCUGAUUUUGUUGCUAAAAGAAUUUAAAAAACGAAUAAAAAACAAUCUUAGAAUUUAUUUUGUUACGGAUGCACACACAUAUUUAACAGUACGACUGUUUGUAUUUAUAUAGAUACUAUUUGAAGAUGUACAUGUGAUUUUAAUAAUAGUAUUGGAAACGGAUGAGACUACAUUAGUCCCUGAACAUCACCUAGAACUAUCUAAGAAGUUAUGUGACUCCCACUAAGUUGUCAGAUCUAACCUUGCUUGUACUGUUGUGUACUGGACGUUAUGAGACUGCUUGAAGCAAUGGAUAAAUACUAUAAAUUAUUUGUGCAUUUUGUUUGACUUGAAAAAUUUUCCACUUUUUCGGAGAAGAAAAUAAUGAACAAGCUGAAAUGAACAGUAAAUAUAUUUCAUACAAA